rnacentral:rRNA from 1 species
AUUGAACGCUGGCGGCAUGCCUUACACAUGCAAGUCGAACGGCAGCACAGCAGAGCUUGCUCUGUGGGUGGCGAGUGGCGGACGGGUGAGGAAUACAUGGGAAUCUGCCCAGUCGUGGGGGAUAACGUAGGGAAACUUACGCUAAUACCGCAUGCGCCCUUCGGGGGAAAGCCGGGGACCUUCGGGCCUGGCGCGACUGGAUGAGCCCAUGUCGGAUUGGCUAGGUGGCGGGGUAACGGCCCACCAAGGCGACGAUCCGUAGCUGGUCUGAGAGGAUGAUCAGCCACACUAGAACUGAGACACGGUCCAGACUCCUACGGGAGGCAGCAGUAGGGAAUAUUAGACAAUGGGCGCAAGCCUGAUCCAGCCAUGCCGCGUGAGUGAAGAAGGCCUUCGGGUUGUAAAGCUCUUUUGUCCGGAAAGAAAAGCAUCCAGUUAAUACCUGGGUGUCCUGACGGUACCGGAAGAAUAAGCACCGGCUAACUUCGUGCCAGCCGCCGCCGUAAUAC